rnacentral:lncRNA from 1 species
ACUUCACUGCUGGCUUGCGCUUAAUGUCAUAAAUUUUGCAUGAUUUUCUCAACUCCUUAUUCCUUCUUCUCUGUCUAUUCUUUCUCAUGCUCCUGCUCCAGUUCUUGUUCAUGCUUUCUACUGCUCAAGCCUCAAGAGAUUAUUUUCAUGGAGCCGCUGAUCCCUUUGUGCCUCCUUGAAACGUCCAAAGAAGAACAUCAGUAUUCUGGCUUUCAUCACAAGUAUAAAAUCAACAGGAGUUUAAGGGUGCUAUCCUUGCUGAGCUUUUUUGAAUUUUUAUUAUUAAUAUUUUUCUUUUAAUUUUUCUUGACCUUGCAAGACUUUUUAAUUCUUGUGUUAAGAUAUGUAAGGUUUUUAUUUUUGUUUUUCUUUUUUAUUUUUCUUUUUAUCUUGAUCAAUCCUCCCAUCUUUCUUUUUUGUCUCUAUUCCUCCUGAGCUUUACUGAAAUAAAAAAAUUGAAUAUCUCUUUCUAAUGUUGUACUAUAUAAAUUACUAUUUUUCUUGUAAUUGCUAUCCGUGCUUUUGAAUAUCUCUUUCUGUAUUUUGCUAAAACUACAAAUAUAUUGGCUCGUCUUUGAGAAGUGGAGGAUGCCUUUUUUCACUUUUUAGUUUACAAUGCUUGAAGGAUGCUCACUGCAUGCCCAUGAUCAGGACCUCGAUAAUGAUGUCGAAAUUACUCCUUAUGUGAGACAUAACUUAGAUGGAAUAAAAUAUAUGCCCUAUAAAGUUUAAGAGAAGAAAGAUGUAGAAGGU